rnacentral:rRNA from 1 species
UACGUAGGGUGCAAGCGUUAAUCGGAAUUACUGGGCGUAAAGCGUGCGCAGGCGGUGAUGCAAGACAGAUGUGAAAUCCCCGGGCUUAACCUGGGAACUGCAUUUGUGACUGCAUUGCUGGAGUGCGGCAGAGGGGGAUGGAAUUCCCAGUGUAGCGGUGAAAUGCGUAGAUAUUGGGAGGAACACCAGUGGCGAAGGCGGCUCACUGGACCGGAACUGACGCUGAGGCGCGAAAGCUAGGGGAGCAAACAGG